CCUACGGGCGGCAGCAGUGGGGGAUAUUGCACAAUGGGGGGAACCCUGAUGCAGCGACGCCGCGUGUGGGAAGACGGUCCUCUGGAUUGUAAACCACUGUCCCCAGGGACGAAAAUGACGGUACCUGGGGAGGAAGCUCCGGCUAACUACGUUCCAGCAGCCGCGGUAAUCCGUAGGGAGCGAGCGUUGUCCGGAAUUACUGGGUGUAAAGGGAGCGUAGGCGGGGAAUCAAGGUGGGUGUAAAAACUACCGGCUCAACUGGUAGUCGCACUCAAAACUGCAGCUCUUGAGUGAAGUAGAGGCAGGCGGAAUUCCUAGUGUAGCGGUGAAAUGCGUAGAUAUUAGGAGGAACACCAGUGGCGAAGGCGGCCUGCUGGGCUUUUACUGACGCUGAGGCUCGAAAGUGUGGGGAGCAAACAGGAUUAGAUACCCGAGUAGUC
rnacentral:rRNA from 1 species